CCUACGGGAGGCAGCAGUGGGGAAUAUUGGGCAAUGGGCGCAAGCCUGACCCAGCAACGCCGCGUGAAGGAAGAAGGCUUUCGGGUUGUAAACUUCUUUUAAGAGGGAAGAGUAGAAGACGGUACCUCUUGAAUAAGCCACGGCUAACUACGUGCCAGCAGCCGCGGUAAUACGUAGGUGGCAAGCGUUGUCCGGAUUUACUGGGGGUAAAGGGCGUGUAGCCGGGCCGGCAAGUCAGAUGUGAAAGCCCAAGGCUCAACCUUGGAACUGCAUUUGAAACUGUUGGUCUUGAGUAUCGGAGAGGCAGGCGGAAUUCCUAGUGUAGCGGUGAAAUGCGUAGAUAUUAGGAGGAACACCAGUGGCGAAGGCGGCCUGCUGGACGACAACUGACGGUGAGGCGCGAAAGCGUGGGGAGCAAACAGGAUUAGAUACCCGUGUAGUC
rnacentral:rRNA from 1 species